GCAUCGGUAGCUCAGUUUGGUUAGAGCAUCGGCGUGAAACCCCGAGGGUCGGCAGUUCAAAUCUGCCCUGAUGCACCA
rnacentral:tRNA from 1 species